GACGAACGCUGGCGGCGUGCUUAACACAUGCGAGUCGAACGGAAAGGCCCUGCUUUUGUGGGGUGCUCGAGUGGCGAACGGGUGAGUAACACGUGAGUAACCUGCCCUUGACUUUGGGAUAACUUCAGGAAACUGGGGCUAAUACCGGAUAGGAGCUCCUGCUGCAUGGUGGGGGUUGGAAAGUUUCGGCGGUUGGGGAUCGACUCGCGGCUUAUCAGCUUGUUGGUGGGGUAGUGGCUUACCAAGGCUUUGACGGGUAGCCGGCCUGAGAGGGUGACCGGGGAAAUGGGGAAUGAGGGACGGAGAAGGAGAGGAGGGGGGAGAACGGGGGAGAGUGGGGCAAGGUGAGCGGAAGCGUGAGGCAGAAGCGCCGGGGGCGGAAUGAGGGGCAAGGGGAUGGAAAAGGAAGCAGCGGGUAAAGGAGAGUGAGUGAAGGGAAUGGAAAAAGAAGCAAGGGCGAACUACGUG
rnacentral:rRNA from 1 species